CUCAUAUUAAAAGAUAUAAAAUUUUAAUCAAUAACGAGAGUGACGGGCGAUGUGUACACACUUCAGAGCCAAUAUCAGUUAAAUUAAAUAAUUUAAAUUACUAUCAAAUCCACCUUCAUUAAAAUAUUUCAAAAUUAAAUCCAUAAUAAAAAAAAAUUAUUGUAACCCAUCAUACACUUAAUUAUAAGCUGCACCUUGACCUGAAAUAAAUUUUAAUAAAAAAACAAGAAAAUUUUUUCUCCAAAAAGAUUUUCUGAUUAACGGAGAUAUACAAACAAAUAAAUUAAGUAAAGUAAAUCGUGUACUAUCAAUCAUGAGAUAGGUUCCUCUGAAUGGAAUGAAAUACCGCCAAAUUCUUUGGGUUUAAAGAACUUAACUAAUAAUACCCAGGUAAAACAAAAUUUACAUUUAAAAUAAUA
rnacentral:rRNA from 1 species